AUGAGCAUCACCAAGUGCAGAAGCUGAGUUGGGUGGAACAGUUGCUCACAGUGGGGCAGCUCACUCAUUGCCUUGACACAUGCUCUUGUUUUGCCAUGAACAUAAACUUGUGGUGGGGCCUAUUUACAGCCCUGGUGCCAAAGUUUCAACCACAGUGAGAGACCUAAGGAUUUCAAGGAAAACUCAAAGCACCAAUAUUCAGUGAUAGAAGACUCAGAGGUUUGAUGCAGAGUUCACUCUCUGAAAAUGAACGUUCAGUAAAAGCAUGUCUGAUUUGGAGGCUUCAUAUAAACUGCCUGUGAAGUAGACGCCACUUUGCAGGAAUCCGGUCAGCUGUAACAUUCCUGAAGGAGGAGGAGGAUGGUUCAGAGAAUGCGGUUCUUCUUCGAAACAAAGAUCCACAUCAGAAUCAUGAGGCUGAAGGAGGUUCAGUCCCCAAGAAACAGACAAUAAAAUGGAGAUUUGCUUGUGGGAAGUUUAUUGGAGAGUGCUCUUAGAAACAACAGAGGACAUAGUUGAUCUCAAGCAGAGCCCUGUCUAGGCCUUUUACCCUUACAUCAGGUGGUGAUUGGAAGUCCAGUAUCAUAUCCACCUUUGGGAAAUGCACUACUGUGAAUUGCUGUGUAAUAUGACUUAGGACUUUUCCUGGUAAGGAACUGCACUAUCUCUGAGAAUGAUUGUUUGCCCAAGGAAAAGGGAAACCUGUGUGUGUGUGUGUGUGUGUGUGUGUGUGUGUGUGUGUGUCCAGAGUUACCAAUAGGAAACUAGAGAGAUACAAGA